UACGGGGGGGGCAAGCGUUGUUCGGAAUUACUGGGCGUAAAGGGCUUGUAGGUGGCCAACUAAGUCAGACGUGAGAUCCCUCGGCUUAACCGGGGAACUGCGUCUGAUACUGGAUGGCUAGAGUUUGGGAGAGGGAUGCGGAAUUCCAGGUGUAGCGGUGAAAUGCGUAGAUAUCUGGAGGAACACCGGUGGCGAAAGCGCUCUGCUAGGCCGCAACUGACACUGAGGGACGAAAGCUAGGGGAGCGAAUGGG
rnacentral:rRNA from 1 species